rnacentral:lncRNA from 1 species
CUCAGACCUGCACUGCCCAGGAUGGCUUCAGCCCCCAAAGAUGCUCCUGCCCUGCUACACUUCGUGGACCAGCAUCGGGAGCAGCUGGUGGCCCGAGUGACAUCAGUGGACCCUCUCUUGGACAAGCUGCAUGGUCUGGUGCUGAGUGAAGAAGAUUAUGAGACAGUGAGGGCUGAGGCCACAAACCAAGACAAGAUGAGGAAGCUCUUCAGGGGCAGCCGGUCCUGGAGCUGGGAUUGCAAAGACCAUUUCUACCAAGCUCUGAAGGAGACCCAUCCUCACCUGAUCAUGGACCUCCUUGAGAAGUCGGGAGGGGUCUCUGUUAGACUCUGACAUCCUGGUGACUAAGGAUGAACAUUCUCCUUAGAGUCCUGGCUCUACCUGGCCUUCCUUAGUUUCUCCAUGUGUAACCCAGGGCCAUCUGAGUUCCCUUUCUUGUGGCAGUGCUUCCAUGACAUUUCUUGGUGAUCCGCAUGAUCCCUUUUGGCCUUCCCUAGCCCUAUAUUCAUGUGGAGUGAGCAUCUCAGAAAACAUCCAGUGGAGGCAGCAAGUCUAUUCAGGCCUUGAUCCCCGUUCUCAAAGUAGAUCAGAGCAGCCAGCCUAGGGACAACCUGACGCAUCAUAAAUGCAAGCAGGACUGGGGAUCAUGGGAAUGGAAACAAAAAGAUGAUAGUUUUCCCUGGAAAGUGAGUGCCUCACAGGAAGGGAAGGGGACUUUUUAAAAAAAAAAAA